rnacentral:rRNA from 1 species
CGGGUGAGUAACGCGUGGGUAACCUGCCUCAUACAGGGGGAUAACAGUUAGAAAUGACUGCUAAUACCGCAUAAGCACACAGUACCGCAUGGUACAGUGUGAAAAACUCCGGUGGUAUGAGAUGGACCUGCGUCUGAUUAGCUAGUUGGCGGGGUAACGGCCCACCAAGGCGACGAUCAGUAGCCGACCUGAGAGGGUGACCGGCCACAUUGGGACUGAGACACGGCCCAA